UGAUGAAUUGACGUUGAACUUGUAACUACUAAUUCAUUAAAUAUGAUGUGUUGUUGUUGUUGUUCGGUGAAAUAACUCGUGCAAUGGCUUAAUCAUUUCAUAUUGACGACAAACACGACACGGCAUGUGUCAAGUUUUUUGAUCAAAGCUAAUAUAUCUAUUUUACAAUGGAUUGAACUAGCAUAUUUUGUAUCGAUAUGCUAUAGAAUGACUCUCAGCAAUGGAUAUCUUGGCUCUUGUAUCGAUGAAGAACAUAGCGAAAUGUGAUUUUUGGUGUGAAUUGCAGGAUCCCGUGAACCAUCGAGUUUUUGAACGCAAGUUGCGCUCGCGACCUUGUGGUCGAGGGCUCAUCUGCUUGGGAAUCAAAAGAUUAUGGUGUGCUUUCAAACUAAUGAUUGAUGGCUCAGAAUGACCCUCCGUGUCUAAAUGAUUAGGUGGGUUUAAUGUCGUUAUUGUUUUGAUUCUUGAAAGAGUCAUGUCCAUGAUAAAUGUGGCUUGUUUGUUAAUCGUGGUUUUACCAUAGUGUUGUGCCUCAUUUUUAAUUGGACGAAAAGGACAAAUUCGAUGAAUGUAGACAUGAUC
rnacentral:rRNA from 1 species